UCUUGACUCAACUCUCUGUGACCAAGAAAAUUUAAUGGAACUUUCAUCAUAUGUUGUUGUAUUAGCCUCAACCGCCUCACCAUCCUCACCAAACAGUUUGCUUCUUGUUGCUUUAGAGAUUCACCUAGUCUCUCCGGAAAUCCUCAUCGAUGUUAGAGCUGAUCUUACUCGUCUAUUGAACUGUUUAGCCAAAUCAAGAUCCUCUUCGGACAAUUAUGCCCUCUUCUAAACCUCAUCGUUUGGAUAUAUCAGCGUCAUUUUCGACUAUGACAAGCUCUUUAGAGCUUCCGCUGCAACAAUACAAAUGAGGACAAUCUUUGGGUUUCUUUGCUUUGAGCAAACUUCUCAUGUUAACAUCUAUAUUUUAGGAUUUAUUAUUUUCUUUUGUUCACCGUACCGUCGAAUAUUUUGGUUAUAGUCGUUUUACCGUUGAACAUCGGUUGUAACCUCUUAACCUUUGGAUCUCUUUUUUUUUUUUUUUUGACAUCAAACCUUUGGAUCUCUUUAUAAUAUAAAUCGUGUUACAAAAAAAAGCAUAUGACAUUCUGCUUUAAAUGCGAAUGUUGUGAUAUUAUAUUAAAAAUCUAGAUUCUCCAGUUUUGUAUUCAAACAUAGAUUAUCCGGAAAUGUCUUUUCAUCUUCUCGUAAACCCU
rnacentral:lncRNA from 1 species